UACGAAGGAUCCAAGCGUUCUCCGGCUUUCUUUUUUUUCCCUUUUUCUUAUUCUUUCUAUUAAUUCAUUUGUGAAAGCCCCAAGCUUAACUUGGGAACUGCCAUUGAUACUGAUGGUCUUGAGUACACUUGAGGUGGGCGGAAUGUGUCAUGUAGCGGUGAAAUGCUUAGAUAUGACACAGAACACCGAUUGCGAAGGCAGCUCACUAAAUUGUAACUGACGCUGAGGCACGAAAGCGUGGGGAUCAAACAGG
rnacentral:rRNA from 1 species